UACAGAGGGUGCAAGCGUUGUUCGGAAUUAUUGGGCGUAAAGCGCGUGUAGGCGGCCUGGCAAAUCGGGUGUGAAAGCCCUCAGCUCAACUGAGGAAGUGCGCCCGAAACUGCUGGGCUCGAGUGCCGGAGAGGGUGGCGGAAUUCCCCAAGUAGAGGUGAAAUUCGUAGAGAUGGGGAGGAACACCGGUGGCGAAGGCGGCCACCUGGACGGUCACUGACGCUGAGACGCGAAAGCGUGGGUAGCAAACGGG
rnacentral:rRNA from 1 species